GGGGGCGACCUGGCUUCGACGUGGGUUACGAAACCUAAGGUGCAUGCCGAGUACUCCAGUUCUUCUCGUAAAAAAGAUUGGAAAAAUAUAGUUGCUAACGAUAACAACUACGCACUAGCUGCUUAAUAACCAGUGAAUGCCGUCCGACCAGAUCCGUGCUUGUGCGUCUGGUAUCGGGCGUCGACUCUCACAAGAUCGUCUUGACGUAUGCUUGGUACUGAUUGACUAAAACCUAACAAGAUCGCUUCAUGUUUUCCCUGUUCAUCGGGUAGCUUGAAGUUAAAUUAAUAGAUGAAAUAAGCAUGUAGAGCUGAAGGCAGAGGAUUUGCGGACGCGGGUUCGAUUCCCGCCGCCUCCACCA
rfam:Methylophaga nitratireducenticrescens strain JAM1, complete genome.